AUUAUUGGGCGUAAAGGGUGCGUAGGCGGUUAAAUAAGUUNAUGGUCUAAGUGCAAUGCUCACCAUUGGUGAUGCUAUAAAANCUGUUNAGCUAGAGUAAGAUAGAGGCAAGUGGAAUUCCCAUGUGUAGUGGUAAAAUGCGUAAAUAUAUGGAGGAACACCAGUAGCGAAGGCGGCUUGCUGGUCUUUACUGACGCUGAGGCACGAAAGCGUGGGGAGCAAACAGGAUUAGAUACCCUGGUAGUCCACGCCGUAAACGAUGAGAACUAAACGUUGGGUAAAACCAGUGUUGAAGUUAACACAUUAAGUACUCCGCCUGAGUAGUACGUACGCAAGUAUGAAACUUAAAGGAAUUGACGGGACUCCGCACAAGCGGUGGAUCAUGUUGUUUAAUUCGAAGGUACCCGAAAAACCUCACCAGGUCUUGACAUGCUUCUGCAAAGCUGUAGAAACACAGUGGAGGUUAUCAGUUGCACAGGUGGUGCAUGGUUGUCGUCAGCUCGUGUCGUGAGAUGUUGGGUUAAGUCCCGCAACGAGCGCAACCCUUAUUGUUAGUUACCAGCACGUAAUGGUGGGGACUUUAGCAAGACUGCCAGUGAUAAAUUGGAGGAAGGUGGGGACGACGUCAAAUCAUCAUGCCCCUUAUGACCUGGCUACAAACGUGAUACAAUGGCUGUUACAAAGGGUAGCUGAAGCGCAAGUUUUUGGCGAAUCUCAAAAAACAGUCUCAGUUCGGAUUGAAGUCUGCAACUCGACUUCAUGAAGUUGGAAUCGCUAGUAAUCGCGAAUCAGCAUGUCGCGGUGAAUACGUUCNANGGGUUUGUACACACCGCCCGUCA
rnacentral:rRNA from 1 species